UAAAUUUUCUGCUCAUUUAUA
rnacentral:piRNA from 1 species